ACAGAGAGCUUGCUCUCGGGUGACGAGCGGCGGACGGGUGAGUAAUGUCUGGGAAACUGCCUGAUGGAGGGGGAUAACUACUGGAAACGGUAGCUAAUACCGCAUAAUGUCGCAAGACCAAAGUGGGGGACCUUCGGGCCUCAUGCCAUCAGAUGUGCCCAGAUGGGAUUAGCUAGUAGGUGGGGUAACGGCUCACCUAGGCGACGAUCCCUAGCUGGUCUGAGAGGAUGACCAGCCACACUGGAACUGAGACACGGUCCAGACUCCUACGGGAGGCAGCAGUGGGGAAUAUUGCACAAUGGGCGCAAGCCUGAUGCAGCCAUGCCGCGUGUGUGAAGAAGGCCUUCGGGUUGUAAAGCACUUUCAGCGGGGAGGAAGGCGUUAAGGUUAAUAACCUUGUCGAUUGACGUUACCCGCAGAAGAAGCACCGGCUAACUCCGUGCCAGCAGCCGCGGUAAUACGGAGGGUGCAAGCGUUAAUCGGAAUUACUGGGCGUAAAGCGCACGCAGGCGGUCUGUCAAGUCGGAUGUGAAAUCCCCGGGCUCAACCUGGGAACUGCAUUCGAAACUGGCAGGCUAGAGUCUUGUAGAGGGGGGUAGAAUUCCAGGUGUAGCGGUGAAAUGCGUAGAGAUCUGGAGGAAUACCGGUGGCGAAGGCGGCCCCCUGGACAAAGACUGACGCUCAGGUGCGAAAGCGUGGGGAGCAAACAGGAUUAGAUACCCUGGUAGUCCACGCCGUAAACGAUGUCGAUUUGGAGGUUGUGCCCUUGAGGCGUGGCUUCCGGAGCUAACGCGUUAAAUCGACCGCCUGGGGAGUACGGCCGCAAGGUUAAAACUCAAAUGAAUUGACGGGGGCCCGCACAAGCGGUGGAGCAUGUGGUUUAAUUCGAUGCAACGCGAAGAACCUUACCUGGUCUUGACAUCCACAGAACUUUCCAGAGAUGGAUUGGUGCCUUCGGGAACUGUGAGACAGGUGCUGCAUGGCUGUCGUCAGCUCGUGUUGUGAAAUGUUGGGUUAAGUCCCGCAACGAGCGCAACCCUUAUCCUUUGUUGCCAGCGGUUAGGCCGGGAACUCAAAGGAGACUGCCAGUGAUAAACUGGAGGAAGGUGGGGAUGACGUCAAGUCAUCAUGGCCCUUACGACCAGGGCUACACACGUGCUACAAUGGCAUAUACAAAGAGAAGCGACCUCGCGAGAGCAAGCGGACCUCAUAAAGUAUGUCGUAGUCCGGAUUGGAGUCUGCAACUCGACUCCAUGAAGUCGGAAUCGCUAGUAAUCGUAGAUCAGAAUGCUACGGUGAAUACGUUCCCGGGCCUUGUACACACCGCCCGUCACACCAUGGGAGUGGGUUGCAAAAGAAGUAGGUAGCUUAACCUUCGGGAGGGCGCUACCACUUUUGG
rnacentral:rRNA from 1 species